CCUAAGUGGCCGCGAUAUACCUGCAGAAUGUGAAUUGACGUUGCUAUGGAAAUAGAACAACUCUUCCUGAUUCUGUCAAAAUCCAUCUCUCUCUGUGACCAGGCAGGGGUCAGAAAGGAAAGAAACGCCAGCCCAGGGAGGAAGCAGGAGGAGGGGAGGGUCUCUGCAGCGCCCUACGGUGUUGGAGAAAUCCAAAUGGCUCUUUCUGCUAAGAUACACACACGUUACUGCCUUUAGGGUCCAAAUCUCUCUCUCUCUCUCCCUCUUUCAUCCCAUCUCUCUCUCUCUCUCUCUCUCUCUCUCUCUCUCUCUCUCUCUCUCCUUCUCUCUUCUCUACUCUCUCCUGUCUCUCUUACUCUCUAGCGCUCUUUCUCCCCCCUCCCUCUCUCUCCCUCUCUCUUUUCUGUUAGCGCUUUUUUCCCCCUAGAACCUAAGACCAACCUUUGCUGGCCUGCCCCAUACCAUCAACCCAGGUGAUAACUAAACCAUCCAAUUUGAGCAUUUCCACGAUGCUAUUUAAUGUUCUGUUUUCAGUCAUUUUUUGAGAGAGAGAGAGAGAGAGAGAGAAGGAGGGGAGACAGAGAGGCAGAGAGAGAGAGAGAGAGAAUCUUAAGCAGGCUCAAUGCCCAGGGCAGAGCCCCGACUUGGGGCUCGAUCCCACAACCAUGAGAUCAUGACCUGAGCCAAAAUCAAGAACUGGACCCUCAACCAACUAAGCUACCCAGGCGUCCCUUUGUCUUCAGUGUGGAUAGGCAUUAGCCCAUUCUGUCUGGACCUAAACAUAAACGUAAUGACUUAAGCAGCUGAAAGUAAGGCUGUGGAUAUAAGAACAGCAAAUAAAUACAAGGAGCAACCUUAUCUUAAAAGUCCUGGAUCCUUUCAAAGCCUUCCAAAGCCACAUGGAUCUCCUUAAUACUAAGAAUUCAGCCGAUCAAAGGGAUGCGUCACCAACAGGAUGAAAUAACACACACCAAACUGUUGACAACUGCCCCAGCUCCAUAUAUAAUUGGACCUCGAGAGGGGCUGGACCAAGCAAAAGACACCAACCAGCACCUGGAAACUGUGAAAUACAAGUUCAGUUCGAAGAAAGAAAACACCAUCAGUUCUCCCAAUAUUGUUUAUCUUUUUAGAAUAGCCGUCCUUAUUCUGGACUUGAUCGUCCUCUUCUCUUUAGAAUCACACACAGACUUGACCAAGGGUCUCCAUCUGACCCUUGUUGGUAAAUAAGAGUGUGGUAGAAAACCCUUUCUUGUGGUGGAGAAAGGAUUCCCACCCUUUGAGGUGACCAGUUGUCUACGAUUUAUCCAUUGGGAAACUCUGAUUUCAGGUGAUCCCUCUAACUGCUUUUGCACUGAAAGUAAAACCCUUUGACCCAUUUUAUGCCAUGUUAGGAAAAUUCUGAAUUAUCCCACAUCCACCCUAUAAAUGGACUCAACUGCCUGAUUUACAAUAGCAAAUAACCUAUUUUCCUAGAGAAAAUGUGUUGUCUCACAUACAAAGACAGUCUCCCCUCCACCAAGAAAUCCUGGAGAUACUUCAACAUCAACCUCCCAACACCACACUCCUCCUUCUCCACCCAAAACCCACACUUCGCCUGGUUCCCUCCAUGGGGGUUCCCACCCAGUUCCCAAUAAAGAGGUCACCUCGCCCUCCCUCUUUUUCCUUCUCCCUGUCUGUCAGCAUCCGUGGUGCCACCAAGUCCAUUCCACUCUCUGCCGCGUCAUCUCUCAGCUCUGCCGGAGUCCUGUCCUCUGUCCUCUGGGUCAGGCUCCCCACAGCUCUCACCUGCAUUAUGACUCAAGCAUCACCCCACUUCGGGAGCUGGCCAGCCCCUUGCUCCCAACCACUUGCUACACCGCAGGCAGAGUGGAAGUUUAUGUUGCAAACGUGAUUGUGUCUCCCCAGCAGUGACGUGUCUGUGUCUCCUUAACGCCAACAGGACCAUUACUGUGGCCCCCGGGACGCUGCAGGGUAAGUGCCUGCUGGCAUCCACAGCCUCCCUCUCUGAACCUGAUCCGUCCCCUCCCCCACACCCUUCCCCACCUCAAGCACACCACACUCUCUUUCUCCUUCAGGUCCCCUCUGCCUGACACCCUGCCCGUGUCCCCAUAUCUGUCUCACUCCACAUCUCCCCCUGUACGUGAGUGUGCCUGCCUUUUCCUACAGGGGACAUGCCCGCGGGUCCUGACCAUUUCUUCUCCUGGCAUCAGCACACCUCGUCGUCUCACUGGAGCCUUGCAGGUGUCACCGCCUGCCCUGCAGACAAGGCCUAUGUCAGUGUCUCCCACUCUUGGGCUCCAUGCCUGGAAGCUUCUGGCUCACGGAGGGGCUGCUCAGGAAGCGUGGGGCAAAUGGAGGACAAUGUGGAUUCCACCAGAGAAUUCCACCAGAAUUCCACCAGAACUCCAGGGAGCGCAAGGAAGCAGGCAGAGGUGUCCACCCUGAUCCCCGAACCUUCUCCACCAGAGGGGGCCCCACGCGUGGGAGGAAGCAGGGCUCU